GAAAAAGUCAACUAAAAUAAUCAAAAAGUUGCUUAUUCGAUGAUUACAUCCUUCAACACCGUAGCAUUUACUCUAUUUAUAUAAAAUUUCCUAUCUUAGGCUUAUUCUUCAUUCUUCACGUUUCUUAUAGUUUGUUUUAUUCCUACAAAACUUUACUCAUCUAACCUCUUAUUUUCAGUAUUUAGCAUUCUUGAAUCUUCAUUUUUCUUUAUGGGUUUGCCCAAUAAAUCGAAUAUGUUUCUCUCCAAACGAGAUUUUCAGGCAACGAACUGUAAUUUUUUCCAAGAACUCGAGCCUGUGAAAAGUGGUGCUUCAAGAGAAGAAAACCAAGUGAAAAGUGCAGUCUUUGGAAAAGAAAAAGAAGUGAAAAGUGCUUUUUCUUUGAAGAUUAAAGCAUUAUCAUGUCCAGGAGAAGUAAUCAAGGUUGAGGAAGAAGGAGAUGGAUACUGUAAAACUCCGACAGCUUUAACGGAGCAUAAUAAGAUCCGAUUAAAAUGCCCACCAGCUCCAAGAAAACCCAAGUCACAUCCAUCUACAAAGAGAUCAAGAAAAGAUCAAAUUUUACUUGAUCUAUCCAAUGAAAUUGAAUCACUUUUUCCUCCAGCUCUUCUCAAAGAUCUGCUUAGUGGUAAGAUCAAGAAAGUUAGGAAAGAGAGUGGGAUAAUGUGAUUUCUCUUUAGUUUGUAAUUUUUUUGGUGUGAUGAAUUAUUUAAUGCAAAGUUCCACCAUGUUUAUUUGUUAAUCUAUUAUGUAAAAUUCAUGCAUAACUUCGAAUCAAUGUCAGAUUCUCUAACAAAGACACAUUCAUAGGCUAGUAGCCGGAUAAGACGGAU
rnacentral:lncRNA from 1 species